UUCUCGGGCUCCGAAACUUUUAAUUUUUGUUGUGACUUUUUACUUCCCUAUUUUGUGAUGUUCAAAAAUCAUAUCAAAAUUAUCAGAAUAUUUUGUCACCAUUGCCGAGAUUCACAUGCCGAUUCUUCAUGUCUAUGAGUGACAGAAUUAAAGCCUUCUUAUAACCCAUAAUUUUAAAAGUGGUUCAUAUGAUUAUUACAUAGGAUCACAGAACUGCAAUAAUAUGAAAUUCUUAAAGGAGCCGUAUGUAGGAUUGUGGCCUAAACUGGUACUGCAAUCACUAUAAAAAUACUGUAGAGCGGUGUAUCCCCUCUCCCUACCCCCUGAUUCGAGGUUGCCAGAUGAGCUGCAGGAUUCAGCAGAAACAUAGGCUGCUUCAAUGAGCUUCCAAUGGCAAGUGACGAACAGACGUACACAGUAAGUUUUUUUUUUCUGUUAAUUAUGUUUAUGCUUCAUGAGAGAUAUUUUGAUAAGUAAUUAUUACGAAAAACAAAUCGAUUUACAAGUACUAAAGUUUUUGUCAUAAGUAGGCUAACAAAUAACCAAAACAUUUGCCACAGCAAUUAUAACGCGGGACAAAUUCAAUAUCAUGUUACGGUAAGAACGAUGGAAGACCAGGGUGGGAUCCAGUUAACAGUCUUUAAUGAAUAAAGUAAACUUGUCUUCACUGAGUAAUUAGAACACAAAAAUUCACAGGCAUUAAACAGAGCCAGAACAGAAACCUCCAGACGACUGGAUCAAAGAAAAUCUGUAUCAACUUCCACGAGGACAGAGGCAGGGACCCCGAGAUGCAUUCAGCCAGUCAGAAAAUAGUGAAGACAGCGGGCAGGGCGAACAGCCAAGGGCGAGCGCUGAACAGACAGGACAGGACAGGACUGGACGAGAGAACAGACAUCUCUCACGAAAAGUCAUUGAAUAAUCCGACAACAAGACAGGGCUAGGAACAGGGAAUAAGAAGCUGAGACAAUCAAGAG